UAGCGAAGGGGGCUAGCGUUGCUCGGAAUGACUGGGGCGUAAAGGGCGCGUAGGCGGCUUGCACCGUCAGAUGUGAAAUGCCCGGGCUUAACCUGGGAACUGCAUUUGUGACUGCAUGGCUAGAGUGUGUCAGAGGGGGGUAGAAUUCCACGUGUAGCAGUGAAAUGCGUAGAGUAUGUGGAGGAAUACCGAUGGCGAAGGCAGCCCCCCUGGGAUAACACUGACGCUCAUGCACGAAAAGCGUGGGGAGCAAACAGG
rnacentral:rRNA from 1 species